GUUGAGUGAGGGUCACUGUUGCUGAUGCAGCGCUUUGUGUGUCGUGUAUUCUCUAGAGACUAGCGCAUCAGUUGUUGUUAGCGCCUUCAGCAGCUUCCACAGUGCUCCAAUUCAUCAGGAUGGUUGUGCUGAAGAGUUUGCAUCCACCCAGCGAGGGCGUGAGGCUCCAGCAGGCCGACACCACAGCAGUUGUGGACAGGAAGAGACUGGGAUCAGGAACGCUGUUUGUGGCUGAGGCGCAUCUGUCCUGGUUUGAUGGUUCAGGGAUGGGUUUCUGUCUUGAAUAUCCCUCCAUCAGUCUCCAUGCAGUCUCACGAGAUCUCAGCGCCUUUCCAGAAGAGCACCUGUAUGUGAUGGUCAAUGCAAAGCUGGACGAUGAAGCUGAAGCUGAGCAGCUGGAUAAAGCUUCGGAUGAUGAGGAGAGCGACAGUGACGAUGAAGACUUGGGAACUAUCACAGAGAUCCGCUUCGUGCCCAGUGAUAAAACCAGAUUGGAGCCCUUGUUCUCCAGCAUGUGUGACUGUCAGGCCCUGCACCCCGACCCCGAUGACGUCCACACCGACGAUUACGAGGGAGAGGAGUACGACGUCGAGGAGGCUGAGCAAGAGCAGGGUCAGGUUCAGGGUGACGUCCCUGUGUUUUACAGCUAUGAGGAGGGUUUGUCUCAGCUGACGUCCGAGGGUCAGGCCACACUGGAGCGUCUGGAAGGGAUGCUGGCGCAGUACCACAUGGCUGGAGUCAGAAACGACCAGCCAUCGGCUCAAUUUGAAGGAUUUCCUGAGCACUAAUGGAUCUGGAGCGGGUUAAGCUCAGGGGAGCAGCUCAGGGGAGGACAGUCGUAAUUUAAUACGGUGAAUAAACCUGUUUUUUUUGUCUGUGUUCAGAAGGAAUGGAAGUCGACUCAAACACAGUCGCUGGACAGUCUGAUGACGCUGAUGAACAGCGUUUCUGUACGGCUGAUUGAAGCACUUCAGUGGGGCAUGCUGGGAUACCGGCUGACUCUCAAAGCGAUUACUGCAUUUCUGUCUCUCCUUGCUUGUGGCUGUAUAUUUCUCUGAGCCUCGGCCAUGUGUAGCUUCCACUCAUGUAUUUUGUAGUUUUCCCUGAAGCUCCAGAAUUUUCAUCCUCAUUGGAGUUAUGUUGAAAAGUUUGUUCAAGAUUUCAAUAAAUACAGCUGUUUUUGUACCAAAGCCUCGUUUUUUUCUUCCAUAUUUGGUGUUUUCUCUCUCUCUCUCUCUCUCUCUUUGAAAUAAUCCUCAAUCAUGCAGUUCUUUUUAGAAUUUGUUGUAAUGUGUUGAAGUGUGCUACAAAUACUCAUGUAGCUCAUUUUGGGUCGUUCUCAGUUUGUAUUUAGUCAGAUGUUUAUGAGACAUCCUCGUCUCAUCAUUUCCUGUGUAUUUCCCCACAGUAGAUCAAAUAUUUCCAUCAGCAGUCCUUCGCGUGAGUCACAAAAUCUCUCAAGAAAUGUCUGGGUCACCUGAAAAUUACAGA